UACAGAGGGUGCAAGCGUUGUUCGGAAUUAUUGGGCGUAAAGCGCGUGUAGGUGGCAUGGCAAGUCGGGUGUGAAAGCCCUCAGCUUAACUGAGGAAGUGCGCCCGAAACUGCCGUGCUUGAGUGCCGGAGAGGGUGGCGGAAUUCCCCAAGUAGAGGUGAAAUUCGUAGAUAUGGGGAGGAACACCGGUGGCGAAGGCGGCCACCUGGACGGUAACUGACGCUGAGACGCGAAAGCGUGGGGAGCAAACAGG
rnacentral:rRNA from 1 species